rnacentral:rRNA from 1 species
AACGAACGUUAGCGGCGCGCCUAACACAUGCAAGUCGCACGAGAAAGGGCUUCGGCCCCGGUACAGUGGCGCACGGGUGAGUAACACGUGGGUAAUCUGCCUUCGGGUUGGGGAGUAACAUUCCGAAAGGAGUGCUAAUACCGAAUAAGACCACGCCCUCGAAAGAGGAAGCGGUCAAAGCUGGCCUCUAUACAUAAGCUAGCGCCUGAAAAUGAGCCCGCGGAGCAUCAGCAGUUGGUGAGGUAAUGGCUCACCAAGGCUUAGACGCUUAGCUGGUCUGAGAGGAUGAUCAGCCACACUGGAACUGAGACACGGUCCAGACUCCUACGGGAGGCAGCAGUGGGGAAUUUUGGGCAAUGGGCGAAAGCCUGACCCAGCAACGCCGCGUGAAGGAUGAAAUUUUUCGGAAUGUAAACUUCGCAAGAACGGGAAGAAGUAAGUGGGGGACAAUACCCCCCAUG